rnacentral:rRNA from 1 species
CGGUCUCGUAGGUGACCUGCGGAGGGAUCAUUACUGAGUGAGGGCUCCGGCCCGACCUCCAACCCUUUGUGAACCACAACUUGUUGCUUCGGGGGCGACCCUGCCGUCCGCGGCGCGGCGCCCCCGGAGGUCAUCCAAACCCUGCAUUCUGUACGUCGGAGUCUCAAGUAAAUUGAACAAAACUUUCAACAACGGAUCUCUUGGUACUGGCAUCGAUGAAGAACGCAGCGAAAUGCGAUAAGUAAUGUGAAUUGCAGAAUUCAGUGAAUCAUCGAAUCUUUGAACGCACAUUGCGCCCCCUGGUAUUCCGGGGGGCAUGCCUGUUCGAGCGUCAUUUCACCACUCAAGCCCCGCUUGGUAUUGGGCGUCGCGGGUCUCCGCGCGCCUCAAAGUCUCCGGCUGAGCUGUCGUGGACCCCAGCGUUGUGAAACAUAUUCGCUGGCGGUGCACGCGGCCGCGGCCGUUAAACUUUUCAAAGGUUGACCUCGGAUCAGGUAGGGAUACCCGCUGAACUUAA